UCUCUGAGGUAGCUGAGGGUAGCCAGUGCUAUGCCAUCAUGAAAAAAAACCACCGUUCCUGGCAGUAAUGUCUUGUACGUGCUUUGAAAACAGCAUCUGUUUAAGGUCUGAGACUGACUGCUGCCAGUGAAGGAAAUGGAGUGAUAAAGCUUGUCAUGUUGGCCUAUUUCUUCUAUUUCUCCUUCAUUGCUCUGAACCAUGCUGCAAAAGAAAAUGGUUUCAGAGGUAUUCUAGAGCCAGACCCUUCAUGGAUAAGAUCCUGCUGGAAAGAUACAGCCCUGCCUUGCUGGGGCUUACAGCUCAGGCCUCCUGGUCCUAUACAGAUGUGCACUGUGAAUACAUAAGCUCAUACCCACAAAAGGAGAAGCAUAAGUUGUCACUGGAAUGCUUAACAUAGCAGCUGAGGGGAAGAGGGAUCAUCAAAUGGAAUUAGGAGGUGGUAGGUUCAAAAGAAGGUACCUCAACAUGGAACAAUUAAAUCUUGGAAGUCAUUGCAUUGUUGAGGAUGCCAGAAGUUCAAAAAGCAAUUAGGCAUCAUCAUGGAGGAAAAAUCUAUGCAGGGAUGUUCAACACAAACACCUCUGAUUCAGGAACUCUUUGAGGUGCAAAUCCGCAUCCUGUGGAAGCCUUUUAGACAGCAGCCUCCCUUCUCCUCACACUAUCAUUAGGUGGUUCCUGUUGGCUGUUCCAGGAGAUACAGUCCUGGACGAGACAAGAAAUGCUGCUGUUCUGACACACCAUGGUCAUCCUGUGUUUGACUGUCAUUUCAUUCAAUGUGUUUGGGUUUUUCCCCCUAAUCUUUAAUAAAUCAUAAACAGCAA